CUUACGGGCCCUUGGCCACCAACGAGGAAGGCUCCGGGCGGAUCCGCCACAACGGUUUAUCAUCUCGCUGGGAAGCCAAAACCAGCACCUUGGAUGUAAUACAUGACACGAUAAGCUUAUGCAGUUUGCGUUCAAUUGUGAAAUCAGACGACGAUUUUUCUAAGACUUCGGAGAAGAGAUCAAUGAGAAAAAAAGGAAUCAGAUUUUGAAGAUGAUUCCAAGGAUAACAUACUAUGUUCCUGCCUUCCCAAAGAGCGUUACCUUGUCCCCAGGGAUGCACAUGUUUUUGGUUCUACUGUUGGCUUGCUCACAAAAAAAUGCAUUAGCCCA